ensembl:lncRNA
CUGGGGAAAGACAUUGGCUCAAGGCCUUAAAACAUUAGACUUUUAUGGAUUAUUUAUUAUUGAAGGUCACACCUUGGGCUAUUAAGGAUUCCAUUUCACUGACCCAACUAUUAGAAUACAAAAGCUGGUCCAGUAACUGUAGUGACAUUAGUCCCGCUUGUUUUCUUGGUCAGCAAAAGUAAUUUCCAAUCCAGUUUCAUCCACAACUAAUAACUAGUGUGUCACCCCAUACAGGCAGGAUGCCAUAGAAAAGAUGUCAAAAAGCUUUCUUUGUAAACAGCCAGAUAGUGUCUUGACUGUGUGGCCUAUGUUUCCCUUAACACAAUUCCUCACCUCUCCCAUUAUAGAAUAAACACUGCUUAGAAAAUGCAACAGUGAUUGAGUGUGGCUGUGUUCUGGUAAACUCUAGAAAACUAGUUCAUUGGGUGGUGGUGGUGCACACCUUUAAUCCCAGUGCUUAGAAGGCAAAGGCAGAUUGCUGUGAGAUUGAGGCCAGCCUGGUCUGCGGAGCUAGUUCCAGAAUAGUCAGAGCUAUUACACAGAGAAAUCCUGUCACAAAAAACAAAAAAUAAAACAAACAAAAAACCCAAAGGAGAAAUGAAAGAAAGAAGGAAGGAAGGAGAAAAGGAAGAAAGAGAAAACAGAACCAGAUAGCUGACUUGGAGCUCUAAACUUGAUCAGUGGUUCUCCACCUUCCUAACGCUGUGAUGCUUUAAUACAGUUCCCCAUUCUGUGGUGACCCCAAUCAUAAAACUAUUUCCAUUGCUACUUCAUACAUGUAAUUUUGCUACUGUUAUGAAUCAUAAUGUAAACAUCUGUAUUUUCCAAUGGUCUUAGGUGACCCCUGUGAAAGGAUCUUUGACCCCCAAAAGGGGUUGAGAACUGCUGCUCUGGAGUUUAGGCUAAAGACAAGGGGAUCUGGAGCUGAGUUGCUAGCUGUGUGACCUUAGAAUUAUGGUCUCUGCACUUGUCCCUUUCUUUACCUCUAUGCCGGUAAUAUGAGUUGGGGAGAACUUAAUGCUUAACAGUAAGUGCUAAGCAUGGUUUUUAGAUGAUCAAAUAACUUGUGAAGUGGAUAACACUACAUUAUAACUGAGAUUGGGGUGCUCUGCUGGCACAGAACUACUGUAAAAUCAACUGCUUUGCAGGCUGAGGCAGGAGGAUUAUGAGUUCAAGGGCAGGCUGGGCAACUAAGUAAAGUAAUUCUCAAAAUGAGAGGUCUGGCUUGAGGCUCUAGGCUUAAUUCACAAUACCACAAAUAACAAUAAGAUAACAAUUGGGACUCAAAUUGAGAAAUGUUUGGCUUAUAAGGAGAAGGCUAAGACUUGAAGUCAGCUUCUCUAUCUUUAACACAAAGAGGCUGGUUUGGUCAAUAGCCAGGCAGAAUAGAGCCAGGUGGGAUAUCCAAGCAGAGAUACAGGGAAAAAGAGACAAAGUCAGGAGGAGACAUUGGCCAGCCACCAAGGAAGCAAGACACGGCCAUGUAGCAAUACAUAGAUUAAUAGAAAUAGAUUAAUUUAAAUGUAAGAGCUAGCCAGAAAUAAUCCCGAGCCUCUGCCAAACAAUUAUAAUUAACAUUAAGCAUCUGAGUGAUAAUUUUAUAGGUGGCUGAGGGACUGGGUGGGACACAUAAAAGCCUGUGGCCACACAGUCACCUCAUCUAGACACAAGGACAUUCUCUGAACAACUGAGUGAGGCACUGCCUUUCAAACCCUAAAUUGAAGAGGUGUUUGCAUUUCUCUCCAGAUUCACAUGGGGAGGACUGUGUUAGGGCAGGUUUGCGUGGCCACACUCAUUAUGUUACUACAUAUAUUCUCAUACAUUCAUUUUGUGCAUGUGUGAGUGCACAUGUGUGCGUAGGUGUGCACAUACCACACUGUAUGAGUGGAAGUCAGAGGACAACUUUCAGGAGUUAUUUCCUUCCACCAUGGGGGUCCUGGGGAAUCAAACUCAAAUCUUUAGGCCUUGAACUAUCUCACCAGCCUUGUUCUUUCAUUUUGUUGAUUGUUGUUUGAAGCAGGGCUUUAUUUAGUGCUGGCUAGCCUGGAUCUCACUGUGUAGAUGGGAUUGGCCUGGAAUUAAAGGUCAAUGCCUAGGUGGUUCGUUCCUUUGAGAUAAAGUCUCACUGUAUAGCCAGUACAGGUUGACCUGGAAUUUAUAUCCUGUCCUAGCUGACACUGAGCUCAUGGCAACCCUCUUGUCCCAGCCUCAUGAGAGAGGGCUAGAUUACAGAAGGACCCACCACACGCAGCUUAGUUUCCUCCUCCUCCUUUUCUUAUUCUUCUUUUGUAAUUGUUUUGAGGCAGAGUUGAUUCUAUAGCACAUGCUAGCCUGGAAGUCACUAUGUAGCCCAGGCUGACCGAAAACUCUUGGUGACCCUCCUACCUCAGCCUCUUGGGUGUUUGAAUUAUAAGUGUGAGCCAUCACACCUGUCUCAAAAAUACAUGUUUUCUUUUGUGGAGGCAGCAGAGUGAAUAUGAAAGAGGGCUUGACUUAGAAGGACUCACAGGAAUUAUCUCCUCCCGUGAUCCUCAAUUUUCUUCCCUAUAAUAUGCUAUUUGAGUCUAGCAUGAUCUCAGUACUUGAGGCAGAGACUAAGGAUCAGAGUUCAAAGCCAACCUGGAGUAUAAGGGACCAUGUUUCCAAAUCACUGCAUAAAACAAGAAUCAUGCCAUUGCUAGUGGGGCAUAGCAAGUCUGAAAAGAAAUGAUUCUGUCAUCCAUUGCUCUGUAGGCUCACUCAGCAGCAUUCUAUCCCAGUGUUUCGGAAGAGGGAAAAAUCCAAGCUGUGGGGAAGAAGGUCUGGAGGCAGUUGAAGUCUGGGUACUUGAGCAGACUCUCCGAGUGGUCUUGGCUGUCUAGAGCCUAAAGUGAGAUUUUGAAGAAUUCUUCAGUAUUAUCUGCAAACAGACAUGAUAACAGUUUGUAAUUCCUAAGACUAUUAUAAACAUUGGGUAAAAAUACAUUAAACUAUCUGGAACCCUAGGAACAAGAAUAUGAGUAAAUCAAGUAUGGUGUCACACAUGCCUG